GCUGAGCAGCCUGUUACCCAGUCCUGCCUGUUAUCACAGUUUAAGCAAGGGGGUCUUUCAGUGUUAGUGAUCCCAAAGAAAAAGGGAGUUAACUCCUUCCCAUGAUGUCUGCAGUUGUGCACCUCUUCAUUCCCCGCCUUAUUCACAAGCCAAGCUGGUGACUGAGGAUGACUGGGAGGAAAAACCUGCCAGUUCCAGGCCCCCAUGAGAAAAUCAGGUAUUGAGGGGUUUGGGGGGCUGUGAGGCCUGUAGUUGUGGCCCUUGUCCAAAAAGGCAUAGAAAAGAGGGGGAGAUGGCACUGCAGAAAGCACAGAAUAGCUACAGGUCAGCAUCCUGGCCAUCCUUUGAUUUUUGGUAACACCUGAAAGACAGAAGUGGGUCCACUAAAGCAGUGUGGAGCUGCUCUGGAACCAGAUAUCAGUAAAUUGGUUAUAAACACAGCCCCUUCCUAAUGCUUGGGAUGUUGUUGGCUGCAGUUGCUGUAAGCUUCUAUAAAAAAUUCUUGCAAUGAAAUGCCUGAAGGAGAAAAUCUAUCAAAUACAAGGUUGGAAAUUCCAUGUUUAACAAAAAUUACAGGAGGAACCUUGAAGAUCUUGAGCCCUUCCUAACACCACAAGGGUUUUCCAGUACCAUAAUCUUACAGUUAAUUAGCUUUCACUGUGUGCAGGGUGGGUUAGGAUGCGUUACAGCCUUGAUAGAAAGCUUGUUUUGUAGCUGCAGCAUUGGUAAGCAAACAGAUGAUGGAAAAUACAUGGUGUAUUUUGUUCAGAUUUGUAAUAAUGAUUAACACAUGAUUCAUCUUAAUGGGUGUCUGUCUUUGAAGUGCACAAAGAUUUAUUUUAUGUCGGGUAAGUUUGCAUGUUCCCUGUUGGAUGUGCAGCACAUAGAAGUAAGUGAAUGUUAAUGCAUCACAAAUGAUCCUUAACUUCAGUGAUGUGUUAAAUGUUGGAUGUUUAUUGUCAGGGUAAUCAGAGAGGCUGAACGUUCUGUAUCUAUAAAAUACACAUCUCCACACAUAAUGUGCUCGCUGGGCAGCAGGGCUACGACUUGUGCUUGAUCACUGCUCUGUGGGGAUUUUAGUAUUUUCUGUGGGCAGGAAGUCCCUGAAAAUCUUUUUUUUCUGUUUCUUCUGCUCUGCCCCCCCAAAAUCCAGCCUAGGCAGCCAAACUCUGCCUGUUUCCAACCAGCAUGCAGGCUGAGCAAGUUCCCUGCCUGACAUCACUCAAAACUCAGCAUUCACCUUUGGUGGUGGGUUAUGGGAGAAGAUGGAACUGAUGGAAAGUCCAUUUAUUUACUGGGUGAUUUCACUGGGAAGGUACAGAUACAUCUAGUAAGGGCUGAGGUUGUAGCAUGGAGGUGAGUUUUGGUUUUGAAUAACCGAAGGAGAAAAGACCUUGGGGGAAAAAAAGGAUAAAGACUAAAGGAGAAAAGACUAUGGAGACUUUCCCAUUAUCUGUAUUACAGAGAAGGCCAUCCAUGUGUUAACACUGUUUGUCUAAGGAGGGGGACUUCUGGGGGAAAAGUUAGGGCAUUUGAAAGCAAUUUCUAACCGGUGUGGUUUCAAAGAGAAACUUUAAUUAUUGCAAAGGAAUAAAUGUUCAUACUACAUCGUGUCUUUCCUGCUGUUUCCCAACAGAGAAGGGGCAGCAGUUACUGUUAAACAGCUCCAACUGGACAAACGAUGUCAUGCAAGGUACCAACCUGUAAAACAAGAAUAAAAAGAACUGGUUCUUCCUUGGAAUUCUGUUACUGCUAUGGUUACCUCUAAGAGUACUCCUGGAAAACAGCACUUUUUUGGCAGACCUGGUUGGAUUGCAUUUGUACUGUCAUGUUUGACAGCAUACACAGAUAUAUCUUGUUUAUAAAAGAAGUUAAUUUUCAAGAUGAUACAUGUAUAGUAGCUGCACUUAGAUGUGAUUGUCCCUAAGUAAUUACCUGCCCUGAGCAUUAGCUGUAGUAUGGCUGUAGUACGGUCAUGCUAAGCCUUGUCCAUACCCAAGCCUAGGGAGACUUUGCUGCUACAAGAAAAGGGAGUGACAGAAAUGGGUGAUGCUGGAAAGUGGGGCUCCCUCUGGAUAAUGUGACCAGUUAUGCUACGUGCCCAAAGCCUGUGAAGUGAAGCACUUUCAGUUCUGUUCUGGUGACAUACCCAGGAAAUUAUCCCUGUACUGAAUAACUGACGAACUUCUCUGCUCAGAGGACUCAGGCAGCUUCAUGGUGGUUUGUGGGAGAAAAAACCACUGAUUUUAUUUUCUGAGUUUAACAACAAUAGCCUCCCUCACUUUUUGUUUUUAAGGGAAAUAUCGUUGCGGUUUACAGCACUUGGCAAACGAGGCUGGUAAUUACCAGGGUUUCUACCUGCAAUGCUGACAGUUGUGAAUUAUUGAUCCAUAAUAUCCUAAGAAUGAAGGUUAGAUUGACGUCAGCAUUUUCCUUCUCUCCAGCUUCAGUGUUUUGCACCGUGUAAUCUGAAGGGAUUUAUAAAAAGCAGCAGUCCCACUUUAUAAACUGGCCACAGUUACAAGGGUCUGCUGGGUCUGACACCCACAUGGUGAGACAUUGUGUUGGUGGCCAGGGGAGGACACGUUGUGUCUGUGGUGGAGCAGGUGAGGGCAUUCAGCCCAAUAGAGUCUCCUGCAGACUGUUUAGAGGGAGUGUCACCUCCCUGCCCUUGCAUUCCAAAUCCAGCUCUGUGGUGUACCUCUGGAUUUGCAACCAAGUGAAACCUGCAGUUGACCUUUCCUUGCAGUCAAGUGAACCCAACAUUGACCAAACUGUUCCUGAAGUUUCUAGUGGUAUGGCAGCAGAAGAGCAGGAACAACCUCAGCUUUAAUCUGGUUAUAGAAUUGUAUGUGAUUCCACCUAUUUCAGUUUUCAUUAGUUGGAUCUUUCACAGUAGCUCCUUCCUGAGGAAUGAGGCCCCAGAGCAGCACUCAGCCUCUGAGCACACCGCCGUUCUCCAAGCGUGUCGUACCUCGUUGCUGCCAGGAGCAUCCAAGUUGAACAGCUCCCACACCCCAACUCCACCAAGGCUGUCUCCCAGCAGAAGGCAGUUGGUGUUCUUGGCAAAGAGGAUGGACGUGAGAUUGGCUUCUGGGUUGGCAGCGUGGGAGAUCACGGGGUUGAAGCUGCAACCCAGACAAGGCAGGAAUUAAUGGGUACCGUGCACUGACCUGAGUGCAGUGGCCUGUCAGUACAGCAGCCUGAGAAAUGCUGCACAUUUCACUUCUUGUGUUCUAGAUUAACUCAAAAACCAGGAAGUGAGGCAAUAUUUUGUUUGGUCUCUGCCAGAACAAAAUUUCCAGCUGCUAUUAACUAAGAUAUCCCGGUUGCCUAAAACCUGUCCUAUUGCCUGAUCUGGGGGGUGGUGGGUAAUAUGGAUAUUAUAUUAAUAACUUGCAUUAUGCUACUGCAGGAUUUGGGGGCCUCUGGAUCCACCGUGGGUUUGACGCCGUCAGUAAUAAAUACAGACCACCUGUGCAAGGCCACAGAUAACUGAGCCACCCAUGAUUUGUGCAUGUGGUGCACAGGAAUGGGAAAACAUGAGAGGUAUCUCAGCUUCAGACCAUCGUAUUUUAUAAAAGUAGCUCAGUUUUGAUGUUUUGUCUUUUAACUAUGGCAGUGGUAAAAUCUCUGAUUUCUGCAGAAAAAACAGGCAGUUUUACCCUUUAUCAGCUCCGUGAGGCAUCCAGCUCCUGUUCUAACUCCAUUUCUCUGGUAAUAACAUCAGCUGAAUAAGCUGUCCUGAUCUGAUAAUUUUGAUUAGGCAAUAAUUUGUAGCCUUCAUGCCAUAAGGUUUCAGAAUUUUCUUUGAGAAAAGUAAUUACUUACAUGCUGACACUCAGAUCCCAGAUUUCUACCCUGCUUUCCUUCACUGCUGCAAAUAUGAAGGCUGAUUUUGGAGACCACAUGAUGUCAUGAACAAAAGCUUUGACAGAACUGAAAGUUAAAAGGGGCGUCUGUGAGUCCCGGUGCCAUAAAAUGGUGCUCCAGUCUGCAGAGCAGCUUAGGAACAUGUCUGUGCUGGAUGGAUUCCAGGCCACUCUGUACACAGGACCCUUGGAGUUUGGGGAGAAACAAAAAACAACUUGGUGUUACUGUAGAGCUACAGAAUCUCUUGUAGAGCUACCCAUCUUUCUGUCAGAAAUAAGACUAUUUAACUGUACAGGACAAUCACAUUACUGAUUAUUUUCUUAAGCCAGGACUAAAGCUUUAAACCAGUUUAUAGAAGUUUUAAUAAAGUACUUUAAAAAAUCCUUUUAGUGUAGAAAGUAAUCCUGUAAGACUGUGAUGCUUCAUGCCAGGGGAAUUCAUUCUUAAUAUAAGAAGAGAACUUUAGGUUUCUUUUGUUGCAGAUGUUACAUUUAUAAUGUUACAUUUAUAUAUACAUAUAUAUAAUUAUAUAUUAUUAGACAUUAUACUAUAAGCAAAGAAACUGUUACAUUUUUGAACUUAAUUGAAUGGUUUCUGCUGUCAUUAUGUUUUCUGUGCAUCACUCACUUUAUGGCCUCUGUAUGUUCCCAGAAUCUGCUCUUUGCCUGAGCAAGAGCACUGGUAGAUGUGGCCCUCAUCUGUUCCAGCAAGAUAAAUAUCCGUAUCCUGAAAGAAAGGUAAAAAAAGCCUCAGUUGGAUUAACCGAUUUAUCUAGAAAUUGUAAAGGGCUGGAUGAGUAUGGCAGAGACAGGCUCUGAAGAGCUGAGGUGGAGCUGCUUUGUUGGGCCAGGGUGUGUGAGGUGAGUAUAGAGGGGUCAGAAUGUAGCACAUUUCCUGUAUGUGUUCUCUCAAUCAAUGCAGAACUUAUGCUGGGAUUUUUGACUCCUGAAAACCUUGGACAUUCAGCAGUCCGUGUGGAAAAGGCAUAAAUUCUUCAAGUGCUCUGCGGAAGAAAAACUCAGCUGGAUAAAGAGAAGCACAGCACCCUAUGUCCUGGACUUGGGAGAUGUUGAACAGAUCCUCACAGACUUGGUGAACACAGAGAGGGAAACUGCCCCAGGGUCUGCCCAAGGAAAUGUGAGUAGCGUGGCUGAGAGGACAGAGCUGUUCAUGGGCUUGGUUUACCAUUUCAUCCUUUUGGGGUAAAACUUAGGCUUCAAAUCCCAGUACCAAGUCCCUGACUAGUAUUGAAGUAACUCCAGCUGAGGAUCCCACCUCUGCUAUGUAGUUUUCCUGGGCAAAACUUUAGCCAGGAUGGACUUUCUGAGCCUACCUCUGGGUGGAAGUCAAAGCACAUUCCAGCUGCCUGUUGAGAUAUCGGAGCUUCACUUUUCCUUUCUUUCUCACCUGGUAAUGUCUUCUUCUCCCUUUCUGUUCGCCUGAGUUUCAUCAGAUCUGUGCAAAUAGAAGGAGUUUUUGUCAAACAGGUGUGUGACAGCCCUGUGAGUAACGCAUGCUGCUCUGGAAUGCCGAUCUUAAAUCUUUUGUGUAUGAUAACUGGUGUAAAGAAUGUCACCUGAAAUUAAACAAAGCAAUUUCAGGUAUUUUUGCUCUGCUCACCAAUGCAGUCCAGUCUUUGCUGGAUGAGCCACUCAGUUACUCGCCCAUCUGCUGAGAUACACAUCAGUCUCUCUUUUUUGUCACCUUCUGUUGCACCUCUGUCCUGUUCCACCCACCUCAGCUGCCACACAGCACCUGUAUGUUUAUUUAAGGAUGCACUGGAACACAAGAUGCACAUGGUAAAUCAUAUCUGAACAAAGACAAGGCAAUAUAUUUGAAAAAUAAUUAAUCUUCCACUUUGUAAUGAAUGUCAGAUCUUAUGAUAGAAAUGUUUAGCUUUUCUUUAAAAAAAAUAGUCUAAACAUUGGUUGUUUUCUCCAGGAAAAUUUUUUCUCUAUUAAACAUGUUUGAUACUUAGUUUCAGGGCACUAUUUAUGUGCUGAUACCUUUCAGUGACACCUGAACCACGAAAUCAAUCUGUACCUUGUAGGAGAGACCCCAGAUCUGGGGAGCUGCCCUUAGGGCAAAUGUCUCCCUCAUCACCUUCCUCUCUCUCAUUUUCUUCUUAAUUCCUGCUCACUCCUCACCUGUUCUGAUGUUCUCUGCAUUUCUGGCAAGUGGAAUCAGGGAGAAAGCACCAAAAGAUACCACUGGUCACACCAAAGGAUUUAUUAUCUGGGGCAGGAUUGUCUUAGAUAGGACAUGGAGUAUAAAUGAUAUAUGGUGGUAACUUGCUGCAUUUUCUUAAAACUUCAAAGAACAGGACUCCUUUGUUUCACCUUUCCAAAGUGUUAUUUGGUGAGAGGUGCCUGGAGUGGGAGGAGAUGGGAGGUCACAGCCUCACCUGCUGUCCAAGAAUGCGGCGUUGUUCCGGCUCCUCACAUCAUAGACUGCAACAGAUCCACUAGAUGUUCCAACUGCUAAAAGGUUUGGACUUGCCAGGGAAAAAUCCACAGCAGUAACACCAUGGUCACACUGGAAAAUGCGCUCUGGCCACUGACCAGGAGAAAAAUACCAAGCAUGUUUUAAGGUAGUUUCUUAAUUUACCUCCAUCUUCUCAGCACUGGGCACUAAAUUGCUCUGCUGGAAAACUCAAGUGACCAUAGUGACUUCUAGAUAGAAAUCAGGUACUGUGUUCUAAACUGCUCCAUUUAUUUCCUGCUGCAGCUGAUAAAUUUAGGAAAAAAUAAAGAUUGUGCAGAAAUAUGACACUGUAAAAUAAGUUAGAUUGGGUUACUCCAAAGCAAAUAUCUAGAAGGGUCUAGGGUGGCAUCAGGGAGUCACUAGAGUAUUUGAUUGUUGUUGAUGUGGUAAAGAUGCAUCACAGAUUUGAAUAUUCAUGGCUUAAAUUAGUCUAAUACACAGUUUUGACAAAGUAAAAUUUGUAGAAGAAAUCAAACUGAAGUUGUGUAAUUGGAUGGCAAUCAGAUGGUUUUUACUGUGACACUUCAUAACUGAGAUUUCCAAGAUUUUUUUAAAAUGGCUAAUUUUAAAAGGAUUCCUUUCCAGAUAGAUCUGUAAAGUAUAUAUGUUAUAUCUAUGCAAUCUACUUUCUUUUUGGAACUAUUGUGAGAAGUUAGAUUAGAUAAUUAUAGUUAAAAAGAAAAUAAAGAAGAAAUAGUACAGAGAAAAACACAUUGAAGAAAAGCAAACUGGCUGCUCAUUACCAUGGGGUUCUUCAGUGACCAACAGCAAGCCAAGCCUUUCUUCUGAUCUUUAGAAUCAAACUCUCCGUAACCAAUGGCUAAAAGAUCCUGAAAGCACAAAUUAACAGAAAUCUCUCAGUUUAACUUGAAUUUUAGUGGUGUAUUUCCAAACAACAAUUUUGUGUUAGCAGUGACCGUCAGGGCAAAGUCUGGAAAAACAACGCUCAUGUCAUAUGCAGGUGGAAUAACACACAAGGUGAACAUUGUUCUAUAACUGUAUUUGAUGUGCAAUAUUUAAUGGAAUGCAUAAUAAUACUUCUGGUUUUCUCUCUCAAGGUUACUUAUAAAAGAAGCUUCAGUGAGCACCACAAACUCCUGGCUUUUAGCUUUUUACAGUGGGGUCCAAUGAAUUCCCGUAAUUCCUUUCCAUGGGCAGAAGUGAAAAGAAACAGCAAGACUUCAGUCUUCAGCUCCAUUAAUUUCUCUUUUCCUACACUUUCAAAGUAGGUGUUUGUUUGCCCUGUAUUCUAAGACUGGGGCCUCUAAAUGUGGCCAACUUUAUAAUAUCUGGGGAUCUGGUGUACUAACAGUAUGAAAUGGUCUUUGUUUUCUGUCUUUUUUGCCCUUACUGGUUUUCUGUUUCUUGUCCUCACCUGCUUUUUACCUUCCUUCCAUUCAUUAUUUUUGGGGUGUGGGGAAAACUGAGCCUUACAUGACUGAGUAUGGAGGUGUCUGAGUCAUUCUCACUUCCACUGAAACCAAAUUAAACAAACUUGGGCCAUCUGCUUAGAAAUCUGUGCUGUUAUUAUUUAUCUUAUCCUUAAAGUUUGAUGAUUGCUGCUUUUUGGGGGAGAUUACUGUUAAAGCCAAAGAUGUGUUUUCUAAACUGUCAUGAAUAAACUCCAUCACUGGUGAUAAAGUUUAGUAGUAGGAGUUUAAAUUUCAACUGCCAGUUCUAUCACAGACCAAAUUUUUUAAUGUCAUUGUUCAGGUGACUGCCCAGGGUAAACUUUGCCCUGAGGGUCACUGCUAGCAGAAAAUUGCCUUUUGGAAAUACACUGCUAAAGUUCAGUUAAAUUUUGGACCAAUUAAAGCUGUUGUGAUACAUGUGUAGGAAAGCCUGGUGCUGCUGUUCAACCUGUAGAUUAAGGGAACAAGGUUGUUAUGUGGAAGGCCAAAAACAAUCCACAUGAUUGCAGGGAUGGACCCAUCUCUCUGAGAUCCCUCCCAGCAAAGCACACCAAAAUCAGGAGUUUAUUUACACCGCCACUUGCUUGUAAAGAGCUCAGGAGUGACUUGUUAACUCACAGGAUUCACUUUGUUCCAGGCCAUGCUGCUCACGCUGUGGCCGCUGGUUAAAUCACACGUGUAAGACCACAGCUGUUCCAGCCUGGGAGCUGCAUCUUCUUCUGGGGUUUUAUUUAUUGUCAUUGAUGGGUCAAUUAAUCCUUUUCCUUCUUUUCCCUCAUCCUUCUUUUCCUUAUCAUGCUCUUCCUCUUCAUCUUCUUCCGUGGCUGUUGCUGUAUCACCCCUGUCCGAGGUAAUGUCAGGCUCUGAAAUGCACAGAUAUGGUGGAGUCUGAGUAGGAACAUUUCACUCAUCUCACUCCAGUAGUUCCCAUCAGAAGAAAAAAUUUGCCCUUUCAGCAGAUAUUUUGCAGCAAAAAAAAAAGUGAAGUGAAGAUUUGAGGAAUUAAGACAUCCUAACUUCUAAAACUGUGGCUGAAAUAUUGCUGGGGACAGAGAAAGCAACUCGACAAGGCUGUGGUGUGCCAGAUCUGUACUACAGGUGUGAAACGAGUCUAUUUAGCUACCCAGCAACAAGGUAGAAAUUUAUGUCCACCCCCACCAGGAAUGUUUCUAAUCUCAUGUAUUUAAAAAUGUGUUUAAAUAGAUUGUUUUCAAGUUAGAUGCCAAAUUUUAAAGCACCACGCUACACAUCAAUGCUGUAACACCACAGCUAAGUUGCACAAUGCUGUGAUAAGUCUCCUUCUAAAAUUAAAUUUAAAAAAAAAAUAUAAGAGAUAUUCCAAUGCAAAAAGUGGUGAGAGAAGUAGCAGAAUUUAUCUCUAUCUCCUAUCUCUAGGAAACAAGUUUGACUAAUAUUUUGAAUGUCUCAAUUUGUGGUAUAAGCUCAGAGUUAAUUUAUUCAGUUCUUCCGCUGAGCCUGUUAAAGUGCAUGUAAAACUGUGAAGUUCAUGUUGGCAUCUCAAAAACUCUCCUCUCUUUGGUCUGUUUAAUUGACUUGUCAUCUGUAAAGACAUCCGGUGAGGGACAUAACUCCCUGACUUCCAAUAGGACAUAAAGCCUUGUGCUGGAAACAGGGUACUCAGUAAGGAACAAACCUAUAAGGACAGGAAUCUGCCGAUAAGCCGCGAGUUUGGGUUGAAAAAUAUUCUCCAUUAAAAUCCUCUCCAUGAUAACUAAAUCUUGCUUUAAGUUUUCUGAUGUUAAUAUAGCUUCUGAAUGGCAUUUCUCCUCUUCCUGGCUCCUGACAGGAACAGCGCUUUCUGAAAUCAUUAGAGAAGAAGUUGUGAUGCCUGAUAACAGAUAAUAUGGGAAAUAAAUGGUUUUAACACAAUAAAACUUUGCACAUAAAAGUUGAGAGAUAAGAAUUCUCCUCCACCUGCAAAAAGCAUAGAAGAAUCUGUCAGGAUCAAAGAAUACUUCCACUAUAAGUUUUUUCUUGCUUUAAUUUUGUUUUCUUUUAUUGCUCAGAUACUCAGUAUGAUGAGAUAUUCUGGAAUUUUUCACAAAUGGCGUUCUGCUUCUACUGUCCCGAUGAAAGAAUGAAUUUCAUCAACGUGAUGGAGUUGCAAGAAAUUUAGCCUUGUCAAAGAGAGACCCAGGGCUUUGAACACAGAUGAAAUGGGGGCCAAUCUAUACCUACAGAACUCUCCCAGCAUCUUCUGCUUCCACAGACACCAUGACAGAGGGCAUGUCAAACAUCCAGAGUGUGUCUGUCUCUGAGAGGUCAGUUUUGGACAGCGACCAUCGUUCCGGAGGUGUCCCUGGCUCUCACCUGCAGGGGCCCCUGGAUGCCAACGAGGCCCCCCCUGCGCACUGGCCGUCCCUCGGAGGCCAGGGAGGUCCUGUGGGAGCUGCUCACGGUGCUGCCCCGUCUGGGGGUGACAAGGACCCCCCCGGUUCCUGCUCCUGCUGCUCCUUCUGCUCCGGCCCUGGCCCUGCAACACCCACAGAGGCUCCUCCUCAACCAGCACAACACCCAAAACAACACAGCACCCUCAAGUUCCAACAGUGCUUUACACGAUUGAAAGGUUUAAAUAGAAAGGAUUGUUUAAAAUAUAGAGGAUUAUAUUAAAUAAAAAUGUAUCAGAUUAUGAAAUAGAAAUGAUUAUUGAAUCUAAAGGAUUAAAAGGGUUAUCAUGUCAUUGUUAACCCUACACAACUGGCCCAGCCCUUGUGAGACAGGACUUAAUAUUAUAAAAUAUCAUAAAUGGUAAUAAAGGAUUUUUACCAUUUAUUUGUUAUAUUUUAUUAUUAGACUACUGUGUAUCACAUAUCAAUUAUUUUAAAGGAUAUAAACCAUUUACAAUUAAGUAUUUUUAUCAUUUCAUUAUAAUUUAUUAUAUAUAAUGAAUUAUGUAUUAUCAAUUACUUUAAAGAUUUAAACCAUUUGCAGUAAGA